AUGGCAGUUGAAAAUUUCAUGAUGCACGGGCCAUGUGGGCAACCACACUACAAGUCACUGUGCAUGAUCAAUGGGAAGUGCUCAAAACAUUUCCCUAAGAUGUUCUGUGAGGAAACAAGCAUCGAUGAAGAAGGAUUCCCGAUAUACAGAAGAAGAAAUGAUGGAAGGAUAGUAGAAAAAAAUGGAGUACAGCUAGAUAGCAGGUAUAUUGUUCCAUACAACAGGGACCUGAUAGUCAAAUACCAGGCCCACAUAAACGGGGAAUGGUAUAAUAAAUCAAGAUCCAUAAAGUAUGCGUUCAAGUACACCCAAAAAGGAGAGGAUAGAGCAACUGUAAUUUUGGGUAAUGGAAACAAUUAUGAUGAGAUACAAAUGUACCUUGAUGCACGAUACCUAUCAGCAGGUGAAGCAUCUUGGCGUAUAUUUGGAUUUGAACUUCAGCAUCGGCAGCCUUCUGUACAGAGACUGCAAUUCCACCUUCAAGGUGAACAAAUGGUUGUGUUCCCGGACUCAACUGAUAUUGAGAAAAUUGUACAUAGAACUGGCAUAGAAAAAACAAUUUUCACUGAAUGGAUGACCGCUAAUCAAUUGUAUGAGGAGGCCCGUGAUCUAACAUAUGCAGAAUUCCCCACUAAGUGGACGUGGCAUGCAAAGAAGAAAAAAUGGAAACCAAGGAAAGGCAGGAAACAAUCUAUUGGGAGGAUCUACUAUGCCCAUCCAGCAAGUGGUGAGAAAUAUUACCUAAGAAUACUGCUAAACUCUGUCAAAGAUUGUAAAUCAUUUGAGGACAUCAGAAAAGUAAGUGGUAUUAUACACCCGACCUAUAGAUCAGCAUGUUACGCCCUUGGAUUACUCAAUGAUGACAAAGAAUGGGAUGAAUGUAUUAAGGAAGCAUCAAUUUGGGCUUCUGCACAACAAAUGCGCCAACUUUUCUGCACAAUACUCCUUUUUGGCGAGGUCACAGAUCCAGGAAAACUAUGGAAAUCUACAUGGAAAUUGCUCUCGGAUGGCGUACAACGACAUCAAAGGAGAAUCUUGAACUUUGAUGAACUUCAUCUUCAUCCUGAACAAAUACAAAACCUCACACUUGUAGAGAUAGAGAUGUUGCUAAGGAGAGGUGGAAAGUCAUUAAAAGAUUAUGAAGAAAUUCCAUUACCAGAUAGCAACUCACUACAAGGUCUAGAAAAUAGGUUGGUAAGUGAAGAGCUUAACUAUGACAGAGAUUCUCUCCAAAUAGAGAAACUGGCAUUACUUAGAAAGUUGAAUCCAGAACAGAAACAAGCUUUUGAUGCAAUACUACAAUCUGUAAAUAGCAAACUAGGCAAAUUGAUAUUUGUCAAUGGAUAUGGUGGGACAGGAAAAACAUUUCUUUGGAAGGCAAUCACGACAUCACUACGAUCUGAAGGAAAAAUAGUUUUAGCAGUGGCAUCCAGUGCAAUAGCAGCGCUUCUUAUACCUGGGGGAAGAACUGCACAUUCAAGAUUUCGCAUCCCACUCAACAUCAUUAAUGAGUCCACAUGUGACAUCAAGCAAGGAUCUUGUCUUGCAGACCUGCUAAAGAAAACAUCAUUAAUUAUAUGGGUCGAAGCACCAAUGGCGAACAGACAUUGCGUCGAAGCAUUGGACAAGAGCUUGAGAGACAUUCUAAGGUUCACAAACGAAAAUAGUACAGAUAAACCAUUUGGAGGGAUGACAGUAGUGAUGGGAGGUGACUUCAGACAAAUCCUGCCGGUAAUACCGAAAGGGCGAAGAUCUCACAUUGUUGAUGCAUCCUUAAAACGUUCUUACUUAUGGAAACACUUUGAGGAAUUCAAGCUCACUCAGGACAUGCGUGUUUCUGCACUAACAGAUACUCCAGAAGAACAAAAAAAAGACCACAGAUUUUGCGGACUGGAUUCUAAAUAUUGGAGAUGGAUUAGUUGGAAAUAA
rnacentral:rRNA from 1 species